GCUGGGUGUGGUGACUCAUGCCUAUAAUCUCAGCUACUCAGGAGGCUGAGGCACGAGAAUUGCUUGAACCCAGGAGGUGGAGGUUGUAGUGAGUCAAGAUCGCGCCACUGCACUCCAGCCUGGGCAANNNNNNNNNNUUGCCCAGGCUGGAGUGCAGUGGCGCGAUCUUGACUCACUACAACCUCCACCUCCUGGGUUCAAGCAAUUCUCGUGCCUCAG
rfam:Gorilla gorilla gorilla genomic chromosome, chr11, whole genome shotgun sequence